AUUGAACGCUGGCGGCAGGCCUAACACAUGCAAGUCGAGCGGAUGAAGGGAGCUUGCUCCUGGAUUCAGCGGCGGACGGGUGAGUAAUGCCUAGGAAUCUGCCUGGUAGUGGGGGAUAACGUCCGGAAACGGGCGCUAAUACCGCAUACGUCCUGAGGGAGCAAGUGGGGGAUCUUCGGACCUCACGCUAUCAGAUGAGCCUAGGUCGGAUUAGCUAGUUGGUGGGGUAAAGGCCUACCAAGGCGACGAUCCGUAACUGGUCUGAGAGGAUGAUCAGUCACACUGGAACUGGGACACGGUCCAGACUCCUACGGGAGGCAGCAGUGGGGAAUAUUGGACAAUGGGCGAAAGCCUGAUCCAGCCAGGCCGCGUGUGUGAAGAAGGUCUUCGGAUUGUAAAGCACUUUAAGUUGGGAGGAAGGGCAGUAAGUUAAUACCUUGCUGUUUUGACGUUACCAACAGAAUAAGCACCGGCUAACUUCGUG
rnacentral:rRNA from 1 species